AAUUACAUUAGCUAGCUUGUUUGUUAAAGUAGUUGGCUACGGGAUUUUAAUUCCAUGAUAUAUACUAGUUAGCCUGGUGUUAUCUAGCGUGUGAGUGGGCUUUAUUAGUUACUUAACACCAGAUCGCUACAGUCAGCUAAGCUAAGUAUUGCUGCUUUUAAUUAGAUGGCUAACUACACAGUGGAGUUCAAACCAUAGAUCCCAGUGGUGAUGUAAAAUGUUCUGAAUCGCAAUUGGCUAAUCCAAGCGCAAGCUCCUCCCCUUUUAAGCCAAUGAUGCCUGCUAUUUAGCAAAACGAGGACGUGUGAAAUGAAUGGUGUGUCGGUGACGUACAGUGAAGACAGCCCAGGACAGGGCCGAAUGUCCUCCUCCGUGCAGCAGCACCAACAGUGGACCAUCUUGUCCGCUCUUAUACACACGGAACACGUACACACACACACACACACACACACACACGCGCGCGCCUGUCAAGGAAUCAUACUGUGUUCUGCACGUAGACACAGGACAAACCAGAGGCUGUGCUAGCAAAACUACCAAACACUUUAGUGCGUGUGUGAGAAGGAUAUGUCCUUGCUUUCUGCUGAUCCCACCACCACGUCAUCCAUCAUCUCAAAGUAUUCACUCCAGGACACUGGGGAGUAAUCUCUCUUUCUGCCCACUCCAUGACUGAAGCAUGAGAGAGAGAGAGAGAGAGAGAGAGAAACAUCAACGACAGCUUUACAGAUUAUCAUCGUUUCUAUAGUAACAGCUCGUUCAUUUGAAAAGAUAAAAAAAAGCAUGUUUAAUUGAUAAUGAUAUGAAGAAGUUUUCUGUAAGGAGAUGUUUACUGAACGUUUAUGGAAAGACUCUCCAGCGUCAGCGCUUCAGAAUAGUCAGAGAUGGACAGAUGGAUGGAUAGACUGAUGAAAUAAUAGAUGGACCGAAGUAGAGAAUUCAGGGCGCAAUUGCACACGCUCACACACUAUGGAUGGACAAGUUGGAAAUCAGCCUACAACACUUGCAUGUAAUGCAAGCUCUGCGCACACAAAGUGGAGACGGGAAUCGAACCCUCAACCCUGGAGGUGCGAAGCAACAGUACUAAGCCACUGUGCCUAUUACACAUAUAAUAUUGAACUGAAUUGAAAUGAUUACAUCAGCAAAUUAUAUAACUAUAUGUGAGCACCUGGUCACCUGUCAGACAGAUAUAGACGCACUCACACACACAGGAAGGUUUAUAGAUGGAUAGAUACAGAUUGACGCUUAGACAAAUUGAUCUGAAAACAGACAGAUGAAUAAACACACAGACA